GAGUUUGAUCCUGGCUCAGGAUGAACGCUGGCGGCGUGCCUAACGCAUGCAAGUCGAGCGAGGGCCACCCGGUGGCAACACCGGGUUGGUGCCUAGCGGCGAACGGGUGAGUAACACGUGGGUAACCUGCCCCCGACACCGGGAUAAGCCUGGGAAACUGGGUCUAAUACCGGAUAUGAGCCUCCUCCGCAUGGUGGAGGCUGGGAAAGGGUCCCCGGUCGGGGAUGGGCCCGCGUCCUAUCAGCUUGUUGGUGGGGUAACGCCUACCAAGGCGACGACGGGUAGCCGGCCUGAGAGGGUGUACGGCCACACUGGGACUGAGACACGGCCCAGACUCCUACGGGAGGCAGCAGCGGGGAAUAUUGCGCAAUGGGCGAAAGCCUGACGCAGCGACGCCGCGU
rnacentral:rRNA from 1 species